rnacentral:rRNA from 1 species
GAUGAACGCUGGCGGCGUGCCUAAUACAUGCAAGUCGAGCGAACGGAUGAGAAGCUUGCUUUUCUGAUGUUAGCGGCGGACGGGUGAGUAACACGUGGAUAACCUACCUAUAAGACUGGGAUAACUUCGGGAAACCGGAGCUAAUACCGGAUAAUAUUUUGAACCGCAUGGUUCAACAGUGAAAGACGGUCUUGCUGUCACUUAUAGAUGGAUCCGCGCUGCAUUAGCUAGUUGGUAAGGUAACGGCUUACCAAGGCAACGAUGCAUAGCCGACCUGAGAGGGUGAUCGGCCACACUGGAACUGAGACACGGUCCAGACUCCUACGGGAGGCAGCAGUAGGGAAUCUUCCGCAAUGGACGAAAGCCUGACGGAGCAACGCCGCGUGAGUGAUGAAGGUCUUCGGAUCGUAAAACUCUGUUAUUAGGGAAGAACAUAUGUGUAAGUAACUGUGCACAUCUUGACGGUACCUAAUCAGAAAGCCACGGCUAACUACGUG